rnacentral:rRNA from 1 species
UGGGGAAUUUUGCGCAAUGGGGGAAACCCUGACGCAGCAACGCCGCGUGAGUGAUGAAGGCUUUCGGGUCGUAAAGCUCUGUCAGAGGGGAAGAAAUGGAACUGGCUAAUAUCCAGUUUUCUUGACGGUACCCUCAAAGGAAGCACCGGCUAACUCCGUGCCAGCAGCCGCGGUAAUACGGAGGGUGCAAGCGUUGUUCGGAUUUAUUGGGCGUAAAGCGCGUGUAGGCGGUUUCUUAAGUCUGAUGUG